rnacentral:rRNA from 1 species
GACGAACGCUGGCGGCGUGCCUAAUACAUGCAAGUCGAACGCAGUGGCGGACGGGUGAGUAAUGUCUGGGAAACUGCCGGAUGGAGGGGGAUAACGUCCGGAAACGGGCGCUAAUACCGCAUAAUAUCAGAUGAGCCUAGGUCGGAUUAGCAAGUGGGAGGGGUAAAGGCCUACCAAGGAGACGAUCCGUAACUGGUCUGAGAGGGUGAUCAGUCACACUGGAACUGAGACACGGUCCAGACUCCUACGGGAGGCAGCAGUGGGGAAUAUUGGACAAUGGGCGAAAGCCUGAUGCAGCAAUGCCGCGUGUGUGAAGAAGGUCUUCGGAUUGUAAAGCACUUUAAGUUGGGAGGCGUUACCAACAGAAUAAGCACCGGCUAACUUCGUGCCAGCCGCCGCGGUAAUUC